GUGAACAUACCACUUGUUGCCUCGGCGGAUCAGCCCGCUCCCGGUAAAACGGGACGGCCCGCCAGAGGACCCCUAAACUCUGUUUCUAUAUGUAACUUCUGAGUAAAACCAUAAAUAAAUCAAAACUUUCAACAACGGAUCUCUUGGUUCUGGCAUCGAUGAAGAACGCAGCAAAAUGCGAUAAGUAAUGUGAAUUGCAGAAUUCAGUGAAUCAUCGAAUCUUUGAACGCACAUUGCGCCCGCCAGUAUUCUGGCGGGCAUGCCUGUUCGAGCGUCAUUUCAACCCUCAAGCACAGCUUGGUGUUGGGACUCGCGUUAAUUCGCGUUCCUCAAAUUGAUUGGCGGUCACGUCGAGCUUCCAUAGCGUAGUAGUAAAACCCUCGUUACUGGUAAUCGUCGCGGCCACGCCGUUAAACCCCAACUUCUGAAUGUUGACCUCGGAUCAGGUAGGAAUACCCGCUGAACUUAAGCAUAUCAAUAAGCGGAGGAAAAGAAACCAACAGGGAUUGCCCUAGUAACGGCGAGUGAAGCGGCAACAGCUCAAAUUUGAAAUCUGGCUCUCGGGCCCGAGUUGUAAUUUGUAGAGGAUACUUUUGAUGCGGUGCCUUCCGAGUUCCCUGGAACGGGACGCCAUAGAGGGUGAGAGCCCCGUCUGGUUGGAUGCCAAAUCUCUGUAAAGUUCCUUCAACGAGUCGAGUAGUUUGGGAAUGCUGCUCUAAAUGGGAGGUAUAUGUCUUCUAAAGCUAAAUACCGGCCAGAGACCGAUAGCGCACAAGUAGAGUGAUCGAAAGAUGAAAAGCACUUUGAAAAGAGAGUUAAAAAGUACGUGAAAUUGUUGAAAGGGAAGCGUUUAUGACCAGACUUGGGCUUGGUUAAUCAUCUGGGGUUCUCCCCAGUGCACUUUUCCAGUCCAGCCAGCAUCAGUUUCCCCGGGGGAUAAGCGGCGGGAA
rnacentral:sRNA from 1 species